rnacentral:lncRNA from 1 species
CCACCUCCUGCCCACGUGAUUUCAUCACAUAGAUUCAAGCAACCUAGGAACUCUCCCCGCUUCCUCAUUCCUCCUCCCUUCCAUCGCUAGUAAAAACCUCUCUUUUUUCUCUUUUUUUUGGGUCCUUCUUGAUGUAAACCUCUUUGCUGGGGAGCUGAUGAUUGCAGUGUCCCUACUUUUCUUCUGUAUCUGUACUGGGUUCUGGGAGAGGCUUUGUCCCACUUUGGAGAUUCCCUGCUCCUAGACAUUCCUACUCCCCUCAAAGCCCACAUGGUGGGCUUCUUGGGAGAUGGGGGGAGAUGCAUGGGGUCUGGUGUAGCAGUGUUCCCAUUUCUUGUAACUUGAUAGGACUUUGGAUACGUAUUUUUCUCUGCCAUGCUGGUGUUGGAGGAGCAGCAGUUCGUACUUUGAUUGUUUUCUUGUUCUCUUAACUUGGAAAUUUUUUGGAGGAAAAGAUUAGAAUCUGUCUGAUAACGUAACAAUUCAGAACCUCACUCAAAAUGGCUAGCCAGAAGAUAUUAUUUGAAUUUCUUAAUCAUGUAUAAGUCCUCACAGAUAAGCUUCAUUUUGGCCUGUGAUGGGAUAAUUCCUUCAAGGCUGGGAUAAUUGUCGCUGGAAUUAGGAUUGAAGGACAACAACGAGAACGGAACAAAAGAGCAGAAAGGUGAGCGAACUUUUAAAUAGAGAAGUCGAGGUCGUGUGCAUCUUUAGGAGUCAUUCCCUCGAAGGGAGAUUAAGAAUGAUAAACCGCAAGGUAAAGUGGUAAACAAUUUGAAGUUAUUUCAA